rnacentral:snRNA from 1 species
GUCAAGUUCUUUAAGUUUUGGCAUGUGAUAAAACUGAAAUAACAUAGAGGAUUAGUAUGUCCUCUGCACAAGGAUGACACUACCGUUGAAGGUUCUUUGGAGCAACUGUAU